rnacentral:rRNA from 1 species
UACGGAGGGUGCAAACGUUGCUCGGAAUCACUGGGCGUGAAGCGCACGUAGGCGGUCCGAUAAGUCGGAUGUGAAAGCCCUGGGCUCAACCUAGGAAGUGCAUUCGAAACUGUCGGACUUGAGUACGGGAGAGGGUUGCGGAAUUCCCGGUGUAGAGGUGAAAUUCGUAGAUAUCGGGAGGAACGCCAGUGGCGAAGGCGGCAGCCUGGACCGAUACUGACGCUGAGGUGCGAAAGCGUGGGGAGCAAACAGG